UUACCUUUUUCCAAUAGUACAAUCUGAAAGAGUAACGAAGCAUUAGCUUGUUAGGAAGGUUUUCUGUAACUGGGACAUCAGCAAAUCAAACAAAGACUUUCAAAUUAUACUCUACAGGAAAGAGGUUGCACUGUUGACGUGUUAGUGCAAGAUCAUUCUUGAAAACUUCAUCACAGUAAAGGAGGCAAGUUGGCAAGAUCCAAAUGAGCAAUGGGCUCAUGCCAUGAAUCUUAACAACUGGAGACUAUGUCUCUAUUACUUUAAGCUGCAGGAGAUUUUGAUAUUUAGAAAUAUUGUACUCAUUUACAGGAAUAAGAGAAAAACAUGGAGAUGCAAAGGAAGAGAAAGAGGAGAGACUACUUGUUUUCUAAGCCACAUCAGAAUCCUUUCUUCACUCAACUUUUCAAGAUGCGCCUGGCCAAGCGUUCACUUCAACAAUAGGCCUUUGGAGCAAACAAAAUGCCUGGCUGUCAACUAGGUUGCUAUAAGGAAGGAACAGGACAUUGUUUACAUCACAAUGCAGCAUCAAUGAAGGUAUGUACAUUAGCCAGAUGAAUGCAUUCUGCUGUGUUUCAGUAAGCUCAGCGCAAUCAAUGCUGAUACAAUGAAUAUCAAGCAGAUCUCUAGAAACAGUCCAUGCAGGUAUCAGCUGUACUGUAACUUGGUGCUUAGUAUAAAUCAAAUAUGGUAUGUGCCAUAGACUGGCAAAGUUUUGGAGAGCUUUGCUUCAGGGGAAG
rnacentral:lncRNA from 1 species